CUUACGCGGUAGGGGAGCGUUCUCUAAGCCUGCGAAGGUGUGCUGCGAGGCAUGCUGGAGGUAUGAGAAGUGCGAAUGCUGACAUGAGUAACGUUAAAGCGGGUGAAAAACCCGCUCGCCGAAAACCCAAGGUUUCCUGAGCCACGUUAAUCGGCUGAGGGUGAGUCGGAUCCUAAGGCGAGACCGAAAGGUGUAGUCGAUGGAAAGCAGGUUAACAUUCCUGCACCGAUUCCAACUGCGAUGGGGUGACGGAGAAGGCUAGAUCAGCGGCAGCAGUGCCGUUCAAGGCCGUAGGUGGAUCUUCCUGGUAAAUCCGGAGGGUCAUUCAACACCGAGAACCGAGUACGAGGGGACUUCGGUCUCCGAAGUGAUCGACGCCACGCUCCCGGGAAAAGCCUCUAAGCUUCAGGUUGGAAUUGUCCGUACCGUAAACCGACACUGGUGGGUGAGGAGAUGAUCUCCUAAGGCGCUUGAGAGAACUCGGGUUAAGGAACUCUGCAAGUUGAUACCGUAACUUCGGGAGAAGGUAUGCCUCCUGGGGUGAGUGGACUUGCUCCACGAGCUUCAGAAGGUCACAGGUAAUCGGGGGCUGCGACUGUUUACCAAAAACACAGGACUCUGCUAACACGUAAGUGGAUGUAUAGGGUCUGACGCCUGCCCGGUGCCGGAAGGUUAAUUGAUGGGGUCAGCCGCAAGGCGAAGCUCCUGAUCGAAGCCCCGGUAAACGGCGGCCGUAACUAUAACGGUUGAACCAUUAGUCAAUGUUUACGCAAGAAAAGCAAAAAGCUACCGACUAACGGCCGUUAUAAAAUUUGGCCAAAUGCUGGAACAGCUGAGUAUCUGGCGGUACCACAUCGCUGAAGGGUGUGGUGACAAUCCGACCAGUGCAGCCAAUCAGCAGGAAAGACUUCCUUCCCACGAAGCGAAAUGUUGGUUCUUAGCGGGCUUGAUCGAGGGCGAGGGCAGCCUCUGCGUUUCGGUCAAGAAGCAUCCCACGGCGCGGUUUGGUUUCCUGGUAGAUCCUGAAUUUUUCAUCUACCAGCAUCAGAUCCGACGGGGGCUGUUAGAGCUCGCUAAAUCGGUCUUUGACGCAGGACGCAUCGAUCCAAAGCCAGGUAACGAGGUGGUGCUGGUUUACAGCAUCAGAAAUCUGCACCUGAUCGCGGAGCGAGUGCUGCCGUUCUACGAACGGUACAUGGCGUUCUCCUGCAAGAAGCGCGAUUACCAACUAUUUCGUGAGUGCGUGGAUGCCAAGCUUCGUAAGAGGCAUCUCGAUCCGCAUGGGAUGAUCGAAAUCGUUGAAAAGGCCUACCAGAUGAAUAUGGAUGGCAAACAACGAAAGCGAUCAAAGGCGGAGGUAAUUGGAAGAAUCCUCAGAGACUACACGCCAGACACCGAUCCCCAAUCGGUGAAGAUAUAGUCCGAUCUUGAUGGCGACAUCAAGCUAACAACAUGCCUAAGGUAGCGAAAUUCCUUGUCGGGUAAGUGACAUUGCCCGGAACGGUGGCAACACCGUUUCAUUCAACCGGCUCAAAUCGGUGGAACCCACACGAUGUUCCGUGCAGGGACAUCACGGGUAAUACCGAGGGUAAGAUCCAGCGCAAGUUGGAUCCCCGUAACGACUCAGGGGUGAGAUCCCUGGAUGGCAGACGAAGCCAUAACACGCCGGCCCUGACUGCAAACAGCGAUGAGGACGACUCAACUCGUCGUAGUCAGGUGAACGUAUAGUCUGUGCCACGGGAAACCGUGGAAGUACAUGAAGUUCCGACCUGCACGAAUGGCGUAACGCUGGCCCCACUGUCUCGACCCGAGACUCAGUGAAGUUGAAAUCGCUGUGAAGAUGCGGCGUAGCUGCGGAAAGACGGAAAGACCCCGUGAACCUUUACUACAGCUUUACACUGAACUUUGACCUUGUCUGUGUAGGAUAGGUGGGAGCCUUUGAAGCAGGGGCGCUAGCUCUUGUGGAGGCAACGUUGAAAUACCACCCUGAUAAUGUCGGAGUUCUAACCUUGGUCCGUAAUCCGGACCGGGAACACUGUAUGGUGGGUAGUUUGACUGGGGCGGUCUCCUCCCAAAGAGUAACGGAGGAGUGCAAAGGUACCCUCAGCGCGGUCGGUCAUCGCGCUACAGAGUGCAAUGGCAUAAGGGUGCUUGACUGCGAGACUGACAAGUCGAGCAGGUGCGAAAGCAGGUCAUAGUGAUCCGGUGGUUCUGUAUGGAAGGGCCAUCGCUCAACGGAUAAAAGGUACUCCGGGGAUAACAGGCUUAUUCCUCCCAAGAGUCCACAUCGACGGAGGAGUUUGGCACCUCGAUGUCGGCUCAUCACAUCCUGGGGCUGUAGCAGGUCCCAAGGGUUCGGCUGUUCGCCGAUUAAAGUGGUACGCGAGCUGGGUUCAAAACGUCGUGAGACAGUUUGGUCCCUAUCUUCCGUAGCCGUUGGAGAUUUGAGGGUGAGCUGUCCUUAGUACGAGAGGACCGGGAUGGACGCACCUCUGGUGUUCCGGUUGUCACGCCAGUGGCACUGCCGGGUAGCUAUGUGCGGACGGGAUAACCGCUGAAAGCAUCUAAGCGGGAAGCCCCCCCCAAGA
rnacentral:rRNA from 1 species